rnacentral:rRNA from 1 species
CUGGUGAGUAACACGUGGGUGAUCUGCCUUGUACUCUGGGAUAAGCUUGGGAAACUGGGUCUAAUACCGGAUAGUAGCCGCCUUUAGUGUGGUGGUUGGAAAGUUUUUUCGGUGCAAGAUGAGCUCGCGGCCUAUCAGCUUGUUGGUGGGGUAAUGGCCUACCAAGGCGUCGACGGGUAGCCGGCCUGAGGGGGUGUACGGCCACAUUGGGACUGAGAUACGGCCCAG